CUUCCAGUUCCAGUGUUCUAUGAUUCUAGAGCCAGCUGGUUACUAUUAUAGUUCAGCCUGCUGGAGUUAACCUGCACAUGGGCGCUGGAGGCUAUUAGUAUUCCCAAGGGAAGAUAGAUGUAGGCUUCAUAUAGAGCAGGGUGGACAGUAACUUUUAUGGGGGGGGGAGGACUCCAUGCAUUUUGACAGCGUGUACCCCUGGAAGUACCGGUACCGAGCAUACAAAUAGAGUAGCCCACAGACAGCAGCCACAGCUAGAAAACAGGAACCAAAAUUAUCAGCGCAGGGCACAGUGCCAAAAACUUCACAGCCAGAGCUGCAAAGCCAGACAAGGGCCUGAACCAAUCACUCAAAAUGGCAAAGUGACCACGAGACCUCUGACCGGCUGCUGAUGGGGAGACGGGGCCAUAAGGGACACCGGCAAAUAGCUGUGGACGGAACCUGAAUGGGAAGAUCUGAUCUGGCUCUUUCUAACCAGGAGUUCAAGGGAGGUUGGAUGUACCAUGUGGCUCGGACCUCUCGUUAAGCAUAAACACCAUGGGUAAGAGAGAAAAAAAAAAUCUCUUACUGAGCUCUGAAGACUCUCUCAAAUUCCGGUGGGCCUGCAGUACCCGGAGGGGAGACUUUGUACUUCCGCCUGGCGUAGAUCACUUGCAGAGAAAAAUAGGCUGGAAGAAAACAACAGAAGAGAGUUCAGUAAAACCCAGAGAAAAGAGCCAGCGGGGAGAUAAGAUGCAAACUUCACAGUUCUGCGCUAUCUACAGGAUACGUGGGGAGCCUUUCAAAAGCAAGAUCUGAUCAGAUGUUAAUUCCUGUCACCUCUUCUGCACGUCAGCAAAACAUC